UUUUACUCUGAGGUAGUGUCAGGAAAUAAAUUAAGGGAGACACGGCCAUCUGACUGAUAGAUGGCUGGCACAAACAGGGCAACACAGGAGUGCUUUCACUUAAAGCUAAACUUUGUCUCAAGCACUUACAUGUGUCUGCAACAGGUUAGUAAAACAUCCCCAACCCUUGAUAAUUACCAAAGCUGAGUAACUUUCAAGGGGCACAGUGACAGGCUUCCUUUGGACAAACUUCUAUCUGCCCAUGGGGACCCCAGUAUGUGUUCUGGGGACCAUCCCUGAAGAAACCUCCUGAAGAGUCCCACUACCUCAACCUUUUUCAUACAUUAGUAAUACAAUGACAUGUCAUUAAAAAACUUGCUAAGCAAGCAACUUUUAAAGGUCAAGCAAGAGGUUUCCUUAUGCUCAUCAAUUAACUGUUUUUUUCAGCAUGUGCAUGCCUUGAGGCCCUGACAGACACAUUCCUGAAGGUUAAAAAACCCCAAAGAGAGUCACCACUUACCCCUGAGGAGUUUCUGCGCCAACAUUAGGAGCACACAAGAAUUUCAGAAAAAUGGAUAAUGUGUUAAGAAGUUAGAAGAAACUUCUCAAGGAGACUAGAAAAGUCAAGUAUUUCAGAUAACUGCCAGCUGACAUGCCACAGCUAAUUUUCCUCUAAAGCAAUUAAGAGCUAUUCAUGUUGACAACUUUCAGAACUCAUCUGGAAACCUACACUGGUACAAAAAGCCCUCAAGAAUUUAAGUCGGAUAGGUAAUUUUAUUAGUUUGUGUUAAUUCUUCCAUACAAUCCAAAUGUAUAGAAUUUUCUGUAGUAUAGAAUCCCCCAUAAGAAGAUUCCAGGUGUAGAGAUAGUCAGCCUUAGACACACGGGACCCCAGUAACAAGCGAGUGCUGAGAGAAUGCGGAAUUGGUCAACGCUCUGCUGCUGUGGCAAAUCAUGGUGUCAGAUGCCAUCAGGUGGUCAAGGGACAUCUACAUAGAACACAUCACUGGAUAUCAGCAAUACCAGGAGGGAUGAGCUGGAGUGCCAAUGAGAAGCACAGUCAGGAAAGUAACAAAUACUUUCCUCAUGGACUGUAUUUUCUAAAUGGACAACUAACCUAAUUCUCAAAUUACUGAGGGACAAUCUCUCCUCAUUGAUAUAUUUUACUUUCCAAAAUCAAAUCUCUAUACAACUUUUCAUGAGUGAUGUACCUGAGUAUUCAGAUUCUAAUAUCUAAACUGUAAAAUCUAGUCACCUAAAUUUGGGUUAUUGCUGAUUAUUUACUCUAUGUAUCAUAUGACUUUUAAAAACUAAACUUUAUAUUUGUGGAUAAUCUAAGCACUAUACCCAGAUGUACAGACACUUUUCCCAACCUACAUAUUUUUAUUAGCGUUAAUAAAAAUGGUAAAUC